GGUGGCUCAGUGGUAGAGUGAUUGACUUGCACCCAUUAGGCUCUGGGUUCAAUUCCUCAGCACCA
rnacentral:tRNA from 1 species